GAGUGCAGCUGGAGGGCUACAGGGAGAUAAGGAACUGAACUGGCUGCAUCUCUGCUGCUUGGCUCUGUUCCCUAUUUCCCGUCUCCUUAGCAAAUCUC
ensembl:miRNA